rnacentral:lncRNA from 1 species
UCUUAUUUCAAUUAAACCUGAUAUCUAUCUCUGUAUCCUAUUCAAUCACUGAGCAAGAAUGAAAACAAAUGCUCAUAGCUUCACCAUGUCCCUAUGUCAUUUUAAGCAGAACCCAUAAACAGCUAAACUAUACCACAACCAAUGUGAAUUACUAUAUCAACCUAAUAUUUCGUUCCAUAACAAUUGAUGGAAAACAAACUUAUAAGAUCAUAACAAUUUUCAAUUUAUAGACUACAGUCAGCAUCUAUAGCAGUGUUAUUUACAGUCUACCUUUAAUUACAUCAAAUAAUCAACCAUAUGUGAAAAAGAUAUUCAAACGUAGCAGAGACACCAAACAGGAGAUCUAUCGCAUAAACUUCAACUUCAUUUCAUUUGUAUCAAAAGAGCUACAUUGAAACAGUCUCGAGCGUGUGUACCUGGCAGAGUGAAUUACAAAAUAGGAGAAACGUAGUCAACAGCAGCUUAAUGCAGCAAAAUGCUUAGUGAACCAGCAGUAACAAGAUACCCAGGAAUGCAAUCUAUGAACCCGGAAAACUUAGAAAUUCAACAGAAAAGACCACAACCUAGCAGGAAUAAACCUUAAUCCAAUUCAACCAAAAUCUCAAAUCAAGCUAUAAGAAAGAAAACCCAAGGAAAACCAGAAAUUGCUUACAACCAAUGAGCAGUGAACAUCUUUUUUGUUGUUUUCUAUUACUGUAUGCAUUUUUUUUGUAUUUUUUGGUGUAUUUGAACGCUGAAGCUAAUUUUGAAAGCUAAAAAUGAAAGGACAAGCAGAUUUUGUAGAAUUUUUUGAGCUCUAAUUCAAGACCAAACUGAAAUUGGAAAUGCAAGGAAAAUAUGAUUUUUGUUCUUGGAGUUUUUGGGGCUGAAAAGGUUAAAGACCUUCCCCAAGGCAUAAAAUGCC